GCAUGGAUAUGUUGUAAGGUUACGCCUUGGGAUAGGCUUGCGUCUGAUUAGCUAGUUGGUGUGGUAACGGCACACCAAGGCUACGAUCAGUAACUGGUCUGAGAGGAUGAUCAGUCACACUGGAACUGAGACACGGUCCAGACUCCUACGGGAGGCAGCAGUGAGGAAUAUUGGGCAAUGCUCGAAAGAGUGACCCAGCAACGCCGCGUGGAGGAUGAAGGUAUUCUAUAUCGUAAACUCCUGUGAGAGCAGACGAAAGACAGAUUAUUAAUCUGGAUGACUGUAUGCUCAGAGGAAGCCCGGCUAACUACGUG
rnacentral:rRNA from 1 species